rnacentral:rRNA from 1 species
CCUACGGGGGGCAGCAGUGAGGAAUAUUGGUCAAUGGCCGGAAGGCUGAACCAGCCAAGCCGCGUGAGGGAGGAAGGCGCAGAGCGUCGCAGACCUCUUUUGCCGGGGGACAAAAGGCCGGACGGGUCCGGUUCUGAGGGUACCCGGAGAAAAAGCAUCGGCAAACUCCGUGCCAGCAGCCGCGGUAAUACGGAGGAUGCGAGCGUUAUCCGGAUUUAUUGGGUUUAAAGGGUGCGUAGGCGGGCCUUUAAGCCGACGGUGAAAUCGCGGGGCUCAACUCGGCGCAGACGUCGGAACUGGGUGGAUUGAGUGAAGGAGAGGCAGGCGGAAGUCGGAGGGGAGCGGUGAAAUGGGGAGAUA